UCUCGACAGUUUGCAAACCUAAAGGAAUCUGAGCAUUCUCUGAAGGCUUGGUGUGUAUUCAGCUGUUGAACAAAGAGAGCUUGGACAAUCAAACGUGUGCCUGAAGAAACAAGUACAAGGUUACUGUCCUGGAAAAUUAAAGAAAGCUGGAAACUUAAUGCCAGUUUUUAGAGACUCACCUGCAGAAAGGUGCUCAUUGCCUGGUAUAGUUGAUCAUGGCUCUGCCUGCAAGAUAUCGGUACCGUUUCAACAAGUCCCGUGAAUCUCUUGGGCUCCAUUUUUGGAUCAGAAGCAAUAAGAGAGAGGAUCCUAUUAUCCUUCUGAAGAAUCCAAAUGGUAGGGCAAUUAGAUCUUUGAUCCAAAGAUCCUGGAUCACCAUCUCCUUGGCUGUUUCGCGACUCCAAGCUUGGCCCGCCAAGGCCUCCAAUGUCACAACUGGUUUGUCCCUUCUCCUUUCUGGGUCAAGAAUCUCCAUACAAGCCAUGAAGGCAAGAGACUCGAUGCAGCGGCCAACAAUCAGCAGCUCUUCAGACCAUGGAAGCAGUGUUUGACACCUCUGAAGAACAAUCAGCGUAUCAUCCCAACUUUGCAACACAACUUGAUUCAGAUAGAGAUCAAAACGCUCACAAAGAUUGCCGGAGCAGUACUCUUCUUUCAAUUCAAGGAACUCUGCUGCACAUCUCAGGGCUGCUACAUUGAAAGGGUCAAUCAAUGUGGAUGAGCCAUAUAUGAAUAGAGCAAUCAUCUCAAAGGUUUCUGGCCCUCCAGGGAAUUCUUGUGGCAGUUCAAGCUCAGUCGUCUCGAUCAAUCUUUUCUUGAAAUAUCCACUUUUCGAAGACAAGGGAUUCUGCAAAUAACAGAAAGAGAAUUAGCUGUGUUCCUGCUUUACAUCUUAACUUUCUGUAGGUGUAACCAUCGAUCUUACCUUGUGAAGGUUGAAGGUUCUGUCACCAACUCGAACACGAACUGUGACAGGCAAACCAGUCUCUUGACUCCUGAAAAAGAACACAAGAAAAACGUCAGCUGUUCAAAGACAGACAGUAGACAUUAGCAUCACAAGAACCUCUGUGGAAAUCUUAUGUUUCUUACCAUGAAAUGAUCUUAAUCUUUAGUAA